rnacentral:rRNA from 1 species
CCAAGGAAUCUGCCUGGUAGUGGGGGAUAACGUCCGGAAACGGGCGCUAAUACCGCAUACGUCCUACGGGAGAAAGCAGGGGACCUUCGGGCCUUGCGCUAUCAGAUGAGCCUAGGUCGGAUUAGCUAGUUGGUGAGGUAAUGGCUCACCAAGGCGACGAUCCGUAACUGGUCUGAGAGGAUGAUCAGUCACACUGGAACUGAGACACGGUCCAGACUCCUACGGGAGGCAGCAGUGGGGAAUAUUGGACAAUGGGCGAAAGCCUGAUCCAGCCAUGCCGCGUGUGUGAAGAAGGUCUUCGGAUUGUAAAGCACUUUAAGUUGGGAGGAAGAGCAUUAACCUAAUACGUUAGUGUUUUGACGUUACCGACAGAAUAAGCACCGGCUAACUUCGUGCCAGCAGCCGCGGUAAUACGAAGGGUGCAAGCGUUAAUCGGAAUUACUGGGCGUAAAGCGCGCGUAGGUGGUUCGUUAAGUUGGAUGUGAAAGCCCCGGGCUCAACCUGGGAACUGCAUCCAAAACUGGCGAGCUAGAGUACGGUAGAGGGUGGUGGAAUUUCCUGUGUAGCGGUGAAAUGCGUAGAUAUAGGAAGGAACACCAGUGGCGAAGGCGACCACCUGGACUGAUACUGACACUGAGGUGCGAAAGCGUGGGGAGCAAACAGGAUUAGAUACGCUGGUAGUCCACGCCGUAUACGAUGUCAACUAGCCGUUGGGUUCCUUGAGAACUUAUUGGCGCAGCUAACGCAUUAAGUUGACCGCCUGGGGAGUACGGCCGCAAGGUUAAGACU